AUGUAUGAGGAUAGCCAGCAUAAUAACAGGAUGGCAUGCCUGGAGCAUUCAUGCACUGUACACAAUCUGACACAGCAAAAAAAAGAGUUGCAGGAGACAUAUGAGAAGCUUGUUGAAGAUGUGAACAACCUCUUGGAUUAUAAGGAUAGCCAGCCUGAGGUAAACCAGAAGAAUGAUGCUGAGAACAUUUCAGUGAUUGUGGAAAGCAGCAUGACAAAGGAUGCUGAGAUCAAAAAAUUGAAGGUUGUUGUUGACCAGUUAAAGCAAAUUCAUGUAGCUCAAGCCACUGUCAUUAGGAAUUUGAAGUUCAACCAUCUUAAAGAGAAGGAAAAGUUGAUCUCUGAUAAGAGGACUUUGGAUAUUUGCUAUGCUGACCUGAAGAAAGAGAAGGAUAAGCUGGAUUGUUGCAUUGCUGAGCUGAUGAAACUAAAUGAGAAGUUGACCAUGGAGAAGAGUACUCUUGCUUCCUGCAUUGUUGAUCUCAAGACAAUAGGUGAUAGCAACAAGAGGAAGCUUAACCAGAUUAAGGCUAUUUGUGAUGAGGACUAA
rnacentral:rRNA from 1 species